rnacentral:tRNA from 1 species
GCCCGGCUAGCUCAGUCGGUAGAGCAUGAGACUCUUAAUCUCAGGGCGUCGGGUUCGAGGCCUACGUUGGGCG